CAAUAGCGUAUAUUAAAGUUGUUGCAGUUAAAAAGCUCGUAGUUGGACCUUGGACCUGGACAGGCGGUCCGCCUCACGGCGUGUACUGUCUUGCUGGGUCUUUCCUCUUGGUGAUCUGUUGUUUCGGCAGCAGGGAACCAGGACUUUUACUUUGAAAAAAUUAGAGUGUUCAAAGCAGGCUCGACGCCGGAAUAUAUUAGCAUGGAAUAAUAAAAUAGGACGUGCGGUUCUAUUUUGUUGGUUUUUGGAAUCGCCGUAAUGAUUAAUAGGGACAGUCGGGGGCAUUAGUACUCACAUGCUAGAGGUGAAAUUCUUGGAUUUUGUGAAGACUAACUUCUGCGAAAGCAUUUGCCAAGGAUGUUCUCAUUAA
rnacentral:rRNA from 1 species